UAGGGAAUCUUCCACAAUGGGCGAAAGCGUGAUGGAGCAACGCCGCGUGUGUGAUGAAGGGUUUCGGCUCGUAAAACACUGUUGUAAGAGAAGAAUGACAUUGAGAGUAACUGUUCAAUGUGUGACGGUAUCUUACCAGAAAGGAACGGCUAAAUACGUGUCAG
rnacentral:rRNA from 1 species